UACGGGGGGGGCAAGCGUUGUUCGGAACUACUGGGCGUAAAGGGCUCGUAGGUGGCCAACUAAGUCAGACGUGAAAUCCCUCGGCUUAACCGGGGAACUGCGUCUGAUACUGGAUGGCUUGAGUUUGGGAGAGGGACGCGGAAUUCCAGGUGUAGCGGUGAAAUGCGUAGAUAUCUGGAGGAACACCGGUGGCGAAGGCGGCGUCCUGGACCAACACUGACACUGAGGAGCGAAAGCCAGGGGAGCAAACGGG
rnacentral:rRNA from 1 species